rnacentral:lncRNA from 1 species
GAACGUUCCCUCCUGUCCUGUCUUCUGCCCCUUCCUCCUCUCAAAGCUGAGUGGGAAGGGGCUUCACACAAAGAUCAGGAAAGCUUGACGUAUGGCUAGUGAACUUUAGGAGGGAGAGGUACUGGGAUGUGGCUCAACCAGAGAAAAUCCCAGGCCCAUAGCUACAUGAAGACUGGUCUCUGUCCUCAAGUUGCUUACAGUUUGCAGGUGCUACACCAAUGGGUAUCAUUUGUAUCUCACAUAGGGAACGUUUCACCCUGCAGGACAACGAGCCAGAGCCUUGCAUACCAGGGGCAGGCAUUAGACCACACCCGCUUUGACUGUUAGACUCAUCUGCAGUGCUUGUGCCACUAGUGAGAUGCGCCUAAUGGGGGAGUUCAUCCCCCACCUCACCCUGGUGUAAGUAGUUUACUGGAUGGGAAUUUGGGCUCCUAGAAGUCUUCAUCUUACUAUUUAUGUACCACCUCUGAAUUGAACAGGUGUUAUAAAAGGGUAAACUGAUGCUAAAAGCUACCUCAAGAAGAUGCCUGGAGCAGGGUUCAAGAUCAAUCUAGCUUUUAGUCUCAGCCAUAAACCAUCUGAGCUUUGGGUAAGUCACUUGACCACCAGGCCGGUUUCCUCAUUAUGACAGAAUGGAAUUCUGAAUUCCCUUUCUGUUGUAAUAGUCUGAUUGCACAAUUUUCCAUUAGAGAAGUUUCAUACCUGUUAGAUCUCCUGCUGCCAGGAACUAACCUCCUGGGAGACAGGUCUUAUCGUCAUCCAGGCAUAUAGGAGGGUGUUGGGAAAACACUUGUAGUGGAUGCUGGAUUGUGCCAUUCAGAGCCAGCUCCCUUUGCUAUUGAAGAACUUAUUUCCCUACAUGUCAGGACUUCUGCUGGCUGAUGGCCCCCAGCUGUGAGCUCUUUCAGGCAUCACCUUUGGCUGCAAAAGGCUCCCUCUCCUGAAGUUACUACCUGCAUCCCUGGAGGCAGACUUCAUCUCAUGUCUUCAUCCAAAGUUUGAACAAAUUGGCUAAGAAGGUGCUAGACAUGUAAAGGGACUAUUUUUUUUCUUAAUUCAAAUGUAGGAGGAGUAUGGAUCUCCAGGAACCAGAAGAGCUGCAUACAUAUGCCCAACAAUUCAGCGACAGCACCAUCAGCCCAGAUGGGGGUUGUGAGCAAAGUCCGAGAUGGUCAGAAGGAAACGAGAACCUGGGAGGUGGCGAGUGUCCACUGCUCUAGUCUCAGGACAGCCUGCUCUGUUAAAGCACCUGGUCCUUCUUCCUGAAGACUUCAGUCCCACCUUGCAUUAUGUUUUGUUCUGUGUAUGUGCGUGUCUAUCUCUCCUGCUAACUGCUGAGCUUGCUAAGGAAAGGAACCUUGUUUUAUGAAAUAAAUGAUAUUUAUGAGCUCCUGUGCUAUGGUCUGAA